rnacentral:lncRNA from 1 species
GCUGUUGCUGUUGUGGUUGUGGUUGUGGUUGUGGUUGAGAGAAUGGGGUGGAGAAGAGAGAAGAUCCGAAUCCGGAGGCGAAGGAAGGUGUGGAUGGAGUGCCGAAGACAGGAGUAGAAGACGGAGUGCCGAAGGCAGACGCGGAGGACGGAGUGCCGAAGGUGGGGCUGCCGAAGGCGGAGGCGGAGGGAGCAGCGGAUGAGGGCUGAGCUCCGAACAUUGUGGCGUUGAGAGAAAGAGGACUAGGCGGCCAAGAGAGC